UACGGAGGGUGCAAGCGUUAAUCGGAAUUACUGGGCGUAAAGCGUGCGAAGGCGGUUUGUUAAGUCUGUUGUGAAAUCCCCGAGCUCAACUUGGGAAUUGCAAUGGAUACUGGCAGGCUGGAGUAUGGUAGAGGAAGGUGGAAUUCCCGGUGUAGCAGUGAAAUGCGUAGAGAUCGGGAGGAACACCAGUGGCGAAGGCGGCCUUCUGGACCAAUACUGACGCUCAUGCACGAAAGCGUGGGGAGCAAACAGG
rnacentral:rRNA from 1 species